GAGGGCACAGCUCAGUGGUAGAGCACAUGCUUAGCAUGCACGAGGCCCUGGGUUCACUCCCCGGUACCUCCA
rnacentral:tRNA from 1 species